rnacentral:tRNA from 1 species
UUCCCUGUGGCUCAGUUGGUAGAGCAUGGUGUUUACAACGCCAGGGUUGUGGGUUCGAUUCCCACUGGGGGGC